GUACACGAGCGGCGAACGGGUGAGUAACACGUGAGCAACCUACCCUCAACUUCGGGAUAAGCCUCGGAAACGGGGUCUAAUACCGGAUAUCACCAGCUUCCUCAUGGUUGUUGGUUGAAAGUUCUGGCGGUUGGGGAUGGGCUCGCGGCCUAUCAGCUUGUUGGUGGGGUAAUGGCCUACCAAGGCGUCGACGGGUAGCCGGCCUGAGAGGGCGACCGGCCACACUGGGACUGAGACACGGCCCAGACUCCUACGGGAGGCAGCAGUGGGGAAUAUUGCGCAAUGGACGAAAGUCUGACGCAGCAACGCCGCGUGAGGGAUGACGGCCUUCGGGUUGUAAACCUCUUUCAGCAGGGACGAAGCGAGAGUGACGGUACCUGCAGAAGAAGGACCGGCCAACUACGUGCCAGCAGCCGCGGUAAUACGUAGGGUCCGAGCGUUGUCCGGAAUUAUUGGGCGUAAAGGGCUCGUAGGCGGUUCGUCACGUCGGGAGUGAAAACUCGGAGCUCAACUCCGAGCCUGCUUCCGAUACGGGCAGACUAGAGGUAGGCAGGGGAGAGCGGAACUCCUGGUGUAGCGGUGGAAUGCGCAGAUAUCAGGAAGAACACCGGUGGCGAAGGCGGCUCUCUGGGCCUUACCUGACGCUGAGGAGCGAAAGCGUGGGUAGCGAACAGGAUUAGAUACCCUGGUAGUCCACGCCGUAAACGUUGGGCGCUAGGUGUG
rnacentral:rRNA from 1 species